UGUGAAUAUCCUCCACCCCUAAUAAUAAAGUGAGAGAAAUAAGAAACCACACACUAGUGGUGUAUGUGAGCUUUUAAAGCAACCAUAUCGAUAUUCUAGUUAUCCUUGCUAGUGGGUUUUAUAAGUCAAAGUUAACUUUCAGAUUCAGAUUCAGGAAGACAUGUCGGCUUCUGUACCCAUCCCCACGUUGAUAGCUUCCGUGAAGGUUAGCUGACACUCGCCAUUCUCUUGCACCUUCUGCAGACAUGCAUCUCUGAGCAGUCACUGAGAGUGAGAAGACGCUCGUGAAGGUUAGCUCUCACUCUCCAUUCUCUUGCACAUUCUGCAGACACGCAUCUCUGAGCACCUCACGAAACGAGGUUUCAUAAUCAUGUGAAACGAAGAAAUUUGAUCAAGGUCCUAUUCGCAAUCGUUCAAAAGUUAUAUAGUAUUCUCCAUAAUGAUAAUGCACACAAACAAUUGGUCUUUCCCCUACAAUACCCACAAAAUUAUCCUAAUUUGAUCGGAAACAUGCAGUCAACGGAACCAGAUAUUUCAACAACCCCAAUAAACCCUUUGAAGAGAAACUUUGAAACCAUGAUAAAUAACCCCCAACAAUCCACAAAGUAUGAGUUGGAUGUGUUUAAAAUGGAUACAACUUCAGGUCACGAAGAUGACUCUGCAGUAGUUGAUCAUGACGACUAUAAUAAAACAAAAGGGAUUUUGAGCAGUCGGUCGAUGACAAAAUGAAUUAAAUGAAUCAAUCGAGUAUGAUACAACUACCACAAAUUGGGAACCACAUAUUCGUGUGUAAAAGCUCGGAAAGAUGACCGAAUAGAGAUCUGAAUAUCCCCUUGGUAGUUGUUACAACAUGACACAUGAUAAAAGCGCUUCUGUAGACAAUCUGGGACUAUGUUCCAUUUUAGGGUUGCUUCGUCCACUAGAACUAUUUGUGUAUGCAUUCUUUUGGUAGUUAAAGCGCUAAUGAGGCGCCAUUAGAAUAA